AGUGAACGCUGGCGGUAGGCCUAACACAUGCAAGUCGAACGGCAGCACAGUAAGAGCUUGCUCUUACGGGUGGCGAGUGGCGGACGGGUGAGGAAUACAUCGGAAUCUACUUUUUCGUGGGGGAUAACGUAGGGAAACUUACGCUAAUACCGCAUACGACCUACGGGUGAAAGCAGGGGAUCUUCGGACCUUGCGCGAUUGAAUGAGCCGAUGUCGGAUUAGCUAGUUGGCGGGGUAAAGGCCCACCAAGGCGACGAUCCGUAGCUGGUCUGAGAGGAUGAUCCGCCAACCGGGGACUGAGAACGCGCCCAGGCCCCCUCGGGAGGCAGCAGUAGGGAAAUUUUGGAAAUGGGCGAAAGGCCGACCCCGCCCAUCCGGGGGAGGGAAGAAGGUCUUCGGAUUGUAAAGCCCUUUUUUGAGAGAAGAAAGGGCGUCAGUUUAGAACCCUCUCUUUGUGACGGUCCCAAAAAAGAAAGCCCCGGCUAACUACGUG
rnacentral:rRNA from 1 species